rnacentral:rRNA from 1 species
CCUACGGGGCGCAGCAGUGGGGAAUAUUGGGCAAUGGGCGCAAGCCUGACCCAGCAACGCCGCGUGAAGGAAGAAGGCUUUCGGGUUGUAAACUUCUUUUCUCAGGGACGAAGCAAGUGACGGUACCUGAGGAAUAAGCCACGGCUAACUACGUGCCAGCAGCCGCGGUAAUACGUAGGUGGCAAGCGUUAUCCGGAUUUACUGGGUGUAAAGGGUGCGUAGGCGGGGAAGCAAGUCAGAAGUGAAAUCCAUUGGCUUAACCCAUGAAC